CCUUACCAGGUCUUGACAUCCCUUGACAACUCCAGAGAUGGAGCGUUCCCUUCGGGGACAAGGUGACAGGUGGUGCAUGGUUGUCGUCAGCUCGUGUCGUGAGAUGUUGGGUUAAGUCCCGCAACGAGCGCAACCCUUAUUACUAGUUGCCAGCAUUUAGUUGGGCACUCUAGUGAGACUGCCGGUGACAAACCGGAGGAAGGUGGGGAUGACGUCAAAUCAUCAUGCCCCUUAUGACCUGGGCUACACACGUGCUACAAUGGCGUAUACAACGAGUUGCCAACCCGCGAGGGUGAGCUAAUCUCUUAAAGUACGUCUCAGUUCGGAUUGUAGGCUGCAACUCGCCUACAUGAAGUCGGAAUCGCUAGUAAUCGCGGAUCAGCACGCCGCGGUGAAUACGUUCCCGGGUCUUGUACACACCGCCCGUCACACCAUGAGAGUUUGUAACACCCAAAGCCGGUGGGGUAACCUUUUAGGAGCCAGCCGUCUAAGGUGGGACAGAUGAUUAGGGUGAAGUCGUAACAAGGUAAGCGUAGAUGA
rnacentral:rRNA from 1 species